GAUGAACGCUGGCUGCGGGCCUAAUACAUGCAAGUCGAGCGAACAGACGAUGGGCUUCCUCCUCUUACUUUAGCGGCGGACGGGCGAGGAACACGUAGGUAAACUACAUAUAAGACUGGGAUAACUUCGGGAAACCGGAGCUAAGACCGGAUAAUAUAGUGAACCGAAUGAGUCAAUAGUGAAAGACGGAUUUGCUGUCACUUAUAGAUGGGUCCGCGCCGCAUUAGCUAGUUGGUAAGGUAACGGCUUACCAAGGCAACGAUGCGUAGCCGAUCUGAGAGGGGAGUCAGCCCCACUGGAACUGAGCCACGGUCCAGACUACUACGGGAGGCAGCAGUGGGGAAUCUUCCGCAAUGCGAGAAAGCCUGACGUAGAACCGCCGCGUGAGUGAUGAAGGUAUUCGGCUCGUAAAACUCUGUUACUAGGAAAGAACAAAUGUGUAAGUCACUAUGCACGUCUUGAAGGUACCUAAUCAGAAAGGCACGGCUAACUACGUG
rnacentral:rRNA from 1 species